UGCCAACAGUUUGCAUUUUUGGCGAUGGGCAGACACACGUCGAAAGUCCAGGCUCUCCUCGGCCCGCGAAUACCACUGCAAUGCCCGCUCACAGCGCCGAUGAAGAAGUUCAACAGACUGAGCCCUCAUGUUCCAAUCCAGCGGGUCGACAACACAAGCCUUCUAGG